GGAGCGCGCGCGCGCGCGGCUCGGAGGCGCACCUGUGAGGUGUCCCUAAGGAGAGGGAGGGCGCCCUGCGUCCGGCAGAGGAGGCGAGCAUCCCGCUCAGGUGAUGAGGAACUCCUCGCGUAACCAGUGCAGAAGGCUGCUGCCGCCGGACGCCUCCAUUGUUUGACCACAACAAGGGCCGGAUUCUCACCCAGGCCGUACUUGGUGAGAGUCUUCAUGGACCAUGGUGCUGCACGAGGUGAUUGUAUUUGCAGAGGUUUUUUUGCCCUUGAAGAGCACUUACGGCCGGAGAGUAAGACACAUGCCAACGAGCAGAAGCUGACAGGCUUGCUGCCAUGUGGGAAAGUCCCUGGACGAGCUGUCUGCUUGCCAGUAGGUGUCUGCGGAUCAGCACUUAAGGAAGACCCAAAAUUCAGUGAGCAAGUCCCCAUCAACCACCAGAAACAGAA
rnacentral:sRNA from 1 species